rnacentral:rRNA from 1 species
GACGAACGCUGGCGGCGUGCUUAACACAUGCAAGUCGAACGGAAAGGCCCUGCUUUUGUGGGGUGCUCGAUUGGCGAACGGGUGAGUAACACGUGAGUAACCUGCCCUUGACUUUGGGAUAACUUCAGGAAACUGGGGCUAAUACCGGAUAGGAGCUCCUGCUGCAUGGUGGGGGUUGGAAAGUUUCGGCGGUUGGGGAUGGACUCGCGGCUUAUCAGCUUGUUGGUGGGGUAGUGGCUUACCAAGGCUUUGACGGGUAGCCGGCCUGAGAGGGUGACCGGCCACAUUGGGCCUGAGAUACGGACCAGACUCCUACGGGAGGCAGCAGUGGGAAAUAUUGCACAAUGGGCGGAAGCCUGAUGCAGAAACGCCGCGUGCGGGAUGACGGCCUUCGGGUUGUAAACAGCUUUCGCCUGUGACGAAGCGUGAGUGACGGUAAUGGGUAAAGAAGCACCGGCUAACUACGUG